GGACGAACGCUGGCGGCGUGCUUAACACAUGCAAGUCGAACGAUGAACCUCCUUCGGGAGGGGAUUAGUGGCGAACGGGUGAGUAACACGUGGGCAAUCUGCCCUUCACUCUGGGACAAGCCCUGGAAACGGGGUCUAAUACCGGAUACGACUACCGACCGCAUGGUCUGGUGGUGGAAAGCUCCGGCGGUGAAGGAUGAGCCCGCGGCCUAUCAGCUUGUUGGUGGGGUGAUGGCCUACCAAGGCGACGACGGGUAGCCGGCCUGAGAGGGCGACCGGCCACACUGGGACUGAGACACGGCCCAGACUCCUACGGGAGGCAGCAGUGGGGAAUAUUGCACAAUGGGCGAAAGCCUGAUGCAGCGACGCCGCGUGAGGGAUGACGGCCUUCGGGUUGUAAACCUCUUUCAGCAGGGAAGAAGCGAGAGUGACGGUACCUGCAGAAGAAGCGCCGGCUAACUACGUGC
rnacentral:rRNA from 1 species